GGCGGUUAGAUAANUCUGAAGUUAAAGGCUGUGGCUUAACCAUAGUACGCUUUGGAAACUGUUUAACUUGAGUGCAGAAGGGGAGAGUGGAAUUCCAUGUGUAGCGGUGAAAUGCGUAGAUAUAUGGAGGAACACCGGUGGCGAAAGCGGCUCUCUGGUCUGUAACUGACGCUGAGGCUCGAAAGCGUGGGGAGCGAACAGGAUUAGAUACCCUGGUAGUNCACGCCGUAAACGAUGAGCGCUAGUUGUUAGGCCCUUUCCGGGGCUUAGUGCCGCAGCUAACGCAUUAAGCACUCCGCCUGGGGAGUACGACCGCAAGGUUGAAACUCAAAGGAAUUGACGGGGGCCCGCACAAGCGGUGGAGCAUGUGGUUUAAUUCGAAGCAACGCGAAGAACCUUACCAGGUCUUGACAUCCCGAUGCCCGCUCUAGAGAUAGAGUUUUACUUCGGUACAUCGGUGACAGGUGGUGCAUGGUUGUCGUCAGCUCGUGUCGUGAGAUGUUGGGUUAAGUCCCGCAACGAGCGCAACCCUUAUUGUUAGUUGCCAUCAUUCAGUUGGGCACUCUAGCGAGACUGCCGGUAAUAAACCGGAGGAAGGUGGGGAUGACGUCAAAUCAUCAUGCCCCUUAUGACCUGGGCUACACACGUGCUGCAAUGGCUGGUACAACGAGUCGCAAGUCGGUGACGGCAAGCUGAUCUCUUAAAGCCAGUCUCAGUUCGGAUUGUAGGCUGCAACUCGCCUACAUGAAGUCGGAAUCGCUAGUAAUCGCGGAUCAGCACGCCGCGGUGAAUACGUUCCCGGGCCCUGUACACACCGCCCGUCACACCACGAGAGUUUGUAACACCCGAAGUCGGUGAGGUANCCUUUUAGGA
rnacentral:rRNA from 1 species